AAAGUACUCCCUCGGUCCCAAAAUUCUUGUCUUAGAUUUGUCUAGAUACGGAUGUAUCAAGUCACAUUUUAGUAUUAGAUACAUCCGUAUCUAGACAAAUCUAAGACAAGAAUUUUGGAUAGAGGGAGUAGUUG
rfam:Triticum aestivum genome assembly, contig: Triticum_aestivum_CS42_TGACv1_scaffold_000192_1AL